rnacentral:rRNA from 1 species
UACGGAGGGGGCAAGCGUUGUUCGGAAUUACUGGGCGUAAAGGGCGCGCAGGCGGCUGCUCAAGUCUGGCGUGAAAGGCCUGGGCUCAACUCCGAGCUUGCAGUCGAUACGGGCAGGCUAGAGUGCGGCAGGGGAGACUGGAAUUCCUGGUGUAGCGGUGAAAUGCGCAGAUAUCAGGAGGAACACCGGUGGCGAAGGCGGGUCUCUGGGCCGAUACUGACGCUGAGGAGCGAAAGCGUGGGGAGCGAACAGG